AGUGAAACGGUUUUUCCGCCUAAAGAGAAGCUUGCGGCUGAUUAGCUUGUUGGUAAGGUAAUGGCUUACCAAGGCGACGAUCAGUAUCUGGUUUGAGAGGACGAUCAGACACACUGGAACUGAGACACGGUCCAGACUCCUACGGGAGGCAGCAGUGGGGAAUUUUCCGCAAUGGGCGAAAGCCUGACGGAGCAAUACCGCGUGAGGGAUGAAUGCCUAUGGGUUGUAAACCUCUUUUUUCAGGGAGGAACAAAAUGACGUGUACCUGAAGAAUAAGCAUCGGCUAACUCCGUGCCAGCAGCCGCGGUAAGACGGAGGAUGCAAGUGUUAUCCGGAAUCACUGGGCGUAACUGUAGGUGGUUUAAU
rnacentral:rRNA from 1 species